AGCUUUUGACAUGUCCGGUAUGAUUUCCAGAGAUGGAUUUCUUCAGUUCGGCUGGCCGGAACACAGGUGCUGCAUGGCUGUCGUCAGCUCGUGUCGUGAGAUGUUGGGUUAAGUCCCGCAACGAGCGCAACCCUCGCCCUUAGUUGCCAUCAUUCAGUUGGGCACUCUAAGGGGACUGCCGGUGAUAAGCCGCGAGGAAGGUGGGGAUGACGUCAAGUCCUCAUGGCCCUUACA
rnacentral:rRNA from 1 species